rnacentral:lncRNA from 1 species
GUGGGUUUGAGUGGAAAUGAGGUCGCACACAGGGGUUCCCUGUGGCCAUCCAGGCAAGUGGUGGUUUAGCAUCUGAACUGUGAUGGUGGCGGGGGAGAGAGACGGAGGCUGGUAGAGGGGCUUAGCUCUUGACUGCAAGUGGGUGGCAAGAAAAUAAAAAAGAACAGGAGAACAAGGGAAUGGAAACGCUCCCAGGUGUUUGGGCUGAGAUCAGGGGACAGUUUGGUGUCUGCACUGAGAUAGGAAACCGGAGGAGGAAGAAGACGUGUGUGUGUGUGUGUUGUGUGUGCGUGUGCUAUGUUUGUCUCUGUGCAUGUGUGUCUGUAUAUGUGUGUGUGUGUAUCCAUGUGUGCAUAUGUGCACCUGUGCAUGUGGGUGUAUGUGUGUGCAUAUGUGUGUCUGUGUGCAUGUGAGCGCAUGUGUCUCUGUGUGUGCAUUGUGUGUCUGCAUGUGUUUGUCUGUAUAUGUAUGUGUGUCCAUCCAUGUGUAUAUGUGUGCACCGGUAAGUGUGUGUGCGUGUGUAGUGUGCAUGCAUAUGUGUGCCUGGAUACAUAUUUGUGUUCAUCCAUGUAUAUACAUGUGCAUGGUGCAUGUGUGUGAUGUCUUUAUGUGUAUUUGUGUUCAUCCGUGUGUGUAUGUGUGCACCUGUGCAUGUGGGUGCAUGGGGGUGUGUGUCUGGAUGUGUGUGCAUGUGUGUCCCUGUAUGUGUGUGUGUGCGUGUACACAUGUGGGAAUGAGUGGGACACAGACUUGCAGAGCCUGGAGCCCAUGUGGGUCAGUAGCAGCAACGGGCCCCUGGCAUGGAGAGGGCAGUAAAAACCAGGAUUAUGGUUUAUGUCCGUGUUAUGUGGCCGAGUGUCCCCAGCCUUUCACAGGGGACAUGCCCAGGGAAAAUGGUGUGUUCAUUUUACUUUCCUCAGAUGCGCACGUGGACCCCCUGCUUUCAAUUUCGAGAUCUUUCCCCCAAAAGGGCAUCUGGAGUUUGAGGGAAAAUACACUGAGCACAGUAUGUAAAAAUGUCACUAGCUGCUGUUAAAAAAUAAACGGCCUGGAUGUUUCCCAGACCACACCGACCUCAUAGCCCCCGUGGGGGCAGGAGGGCACCCCCUGGCCCAGUGCACGGUGUGAUGGCUCUGGUUGUGAAGCAGGUGCUGGCCACCAGCUGUGGGGGCCGUUCCUGUGGUUCUCCUGUCCUGUCCUCAUGUCCCUGACAGGCCUGUCCUGGGCUGACCCCAGGACAGUAAAGGUCUCUCUGAGAAAAAAGUGUUUGCAGAGGGCUGGGAGCCCCCUGAGGCAGGGGUGUCAUUUCAGGCACGUGUUCCUGGGGGACCCACACAGGCCCUCUGGGCAUGAGCCCUUCUCUUCCAUCAGGAAACAUGGCUUCAGGUCCAGGCUCGCAUCUGUUUGGCUAAAGGUGGGGCCCUGUGUGUUCACGCAGAGCUUAAAUAACAGGUCCCCUCUUUUAGAAGCCCCCCCCCCCAGGAAUCCUUCUUUCUCUCUGCACACAUGCAAACUAGCAUUUCUGCAGGAACAUGCCAGGGAUCAGGCAUUGCCCUGCUCCUCCUAUGUGAAUUAAUUACUCCAAUAAUUGAAAAACUCCUUCAAGCAGCAAUUCAACAGCAAUGAAUUGGUCUGUCAUUUAUUUUGGUUUUCAUCAAUUUCAGUACGGUCUUUCUAAAAUCAUUCUUGCCUCCCGACCCCGCCUAGGCACACAUGACUUAGGCAUUUCUUCAUAAUUCAGUAGAAUUAAUAGAGUAUUCGCCCAGCUUGGGUGUGAUGGUUGCAGAUUCUGCCUGCUCUCUUCAGGGAUGGCCGCCAGCAGCUCUUUUCACACCCAUGAAACCCAGUCACUCUGCAUUCUGUUUGUUGACUUAAACAUGCAAUGGACUUGGACACAGCUACCCAUUCCUUGGAGUGUUAAUACUCUGUGUUAAAGAGGAGUCCUGAAGCUCUGAGAGACUUCUUGAAAGUAAUUCCACCGGCUGAGGAAUUCUCACUGAGAGUGAGAACGUGGAGAAAGUUCAGCUUCAGGAUGGUGGAGUCUUCAUCUGUACUUGCCUAUAAUGUUCCUUUCUCUAUCUCUCUCUUUUUUUUUUUUUUUUUUCUUUUUGCCUUUUCUAGG